GGUGAUAUAGCUCAGUUGGUAGAGUGCUUGCCUUGCAUGCACAAAGCCCUGGGUUCAAUCCCCAGCACCA
rnacentral:tRNA from 1 species